rnacentral:rRNA from 1 species
CAGGGGUACUCGAGUGGCGAACGGGUGAGUAACACGUGGGUGAUCUGCCUUGCACUCUGGGAUAAGCUUGGGAAACUGGGUCUAAUACCGGAUAGGAACCGUCUUUAGUGUGGUGGUUGGAAAGUUUUUCGGUGGGGGAUGGGCUCGCGGCCUAUCAGUUUGUUGGUGAGGUAGUGGCUCACCAAGGCGAUGACGGGUAGCCGGCCUGAGAGGGCGACCGGCCACACUGGGACUGAGACACGGCCCAG